CGCUGCUCAGACCUCCGCUCCGACCGCGGCUCAUGCUGCGGACGCCACACCGAGCUCACGCACGAGUCCCCCGGCCGCACAGCAGCCCCAGCGCACGCACCGGCGCACGGCACGAUGGAGCGGAUGGAGUCUAUGGAGCCCAUCUCCGCUUACUACACCACGGCGUACCCGGAGAUCCAGCCCGAAAGCGGCUACGGCUCCGGAGAGAAGACCCCCCCUGCGCCCGCGUACAACGAAGAGCUGGUGCACAAGACCAUCCUGGUGGGCGACAGUGGAGUCGGGAAGACGUCUCUCUUGGUGCAGUUCGAUCAGGGGAAGUUCAUCCCCGGCUCCUUCUCCGCCACAGUGGGCAUCGGCUUCACGAAUAAAGUGGUGACUGUGGACAACGUCAAAGUCAAACUCCAGAUCUGGGACACUGCAGGACAGGAGCGCUUCAGGAGUGUCACACAUGCAUACUACAGAGACGCACACGCUCUGCUUCUGCUCUACGACAUCACCAGCAAAUCCUCCUUUGACAACAUCCGAGCCUGGCUCACAGAGAUCCAUGAGUACGCACAGAGUGAUGUCGUCAUCAUGUUGCUAGGUAACAAGGCGGACAUGAACAGUGAGCGAGCCAUCAGGAGAGAGGAGGGGGAGAGACUAGCCAGGGAAUACUCUGUACCUUUCAUGGAGACCAGUGCCAAGACCGGAGUCAACGUAGAACUGGCUUUUACUGCAGUGGCCAAAGAACUGAAGAGCCGGUCCAUCCAGCACCCCAGUGAGCCCAAGUUCAAGAUCCACGAGUACAUCGAAGCCCAGAAGGAGAAGUCAGGCUGCUGCGGACUCUUCUGAACGCCGGCCCUUUGAGAGGUCGAUUUACCGCACUCUAAGUGAAGGAACCGACCCACAGACUGAGAACCGUCAUCUACAAGCCCAACACGGAACCAGACCAGGCUACUUACUCAAACGAACGAACGAAAUAGGCCUUUUCUGGGAGCCAUGGGAGAAGUUUGAAGUUCGGUUCCUGUUUGGUAUUUUGUUUUAUCUAUUCAGUUCAGUAACUCCUUGAUCUUGGGGGACGACUGUGCUCUCCUUUAUUAAGAGUCUUACCAAGCUGCUGUUUGUUAAAGGGCCCAUAUUACACGAUUUUCUGAUCCAUGUUCUAAUGUUGCUCCUCAUCACAAACAGACCUGGAGUUGUGAUUUGUUUCAUUCACACAUGUUUAACACACGAACCCUGCACAUUUACACUGAGUUCUUCUCUCAUUUUCAUUUGGUCUUCUGAUAAUUUAUGUUAUUAGGUUCUUUUUUCAGACCAAGAGUGUCAACAAACUCUACGUUGUAAGAACAUUAUUCGACAAAACCAUCAUUAUAACAGAUGAACAAGACAAACAGGAGGAAGACAGACACAUCCACAACACUCGGAAGCAACGCCAGUACACAAAACAGAUAUGUGGCCCUUGAUGAAAAAAGUUUGGACACCCCUGGUCUAUGACAAAAGGAACAUAAGACAGAGUGCGAGAAGGAAACAGCGAAGACGAAACACAAGCAACAAAACACAAAGCAGAACAAGAACAACUCAAAUCAGCCGUUUCUGAACACUGUAAAAGAGAGAAGCACAUUCUGGACUGAGACGGAGCGAACAUCACUAGAACAGAGGACUCAAACAUUGUCGCUGGAUUAAAGGUUGUAUGGAGGAUUUUUUUUUUGUUUUGUUUCAAAUUGUCAGUGAAAGUUCAAAAUAGAAUUAUAAAGAUGCAGCAGCUUUGUAAUUAUGACGACCAAAAAAAAGAAAAAGAAUGAAAAUCCAUCAACUGUGGGCAUGGUGGGGACAAAUAAACAUCAGCCAAUAGAUAACAAGGCUACGUCUUUAUCUAUUGGCUGUCAGGUUGUCAAUCAAACUCCUUUUGACUGACUUGCCGGCGCUCUGGGAUUACGUGGUUUACAUUCGCCUCUCACGCACUGACGCCGUUUACUCAACCGACACAGCGGUUCUUAGCGUCUUUUUGGAACUGUAGCCUCCUCUCAGUUUGCACAAAGUUUGUUGUAAUGGCAGAAAGUCUGUUUUUGAUGUCACUGAAAGAAGAAGGGAAGGGCAAAAGGAGCGAAACACAACACUUGAAAAAGGACAAACAGUCGCUGCAUUUCUCUUUCCUGGAAAAUCUUCUAUACAACCUUUAAAGACGCAAUCUAAAUACAGAAACGUGCCCACGGGACGAUAAACCGGGACGAGGGGCUUUUUUAUUCUCACACACCUGGGAUACUGUUUUGAUGAAGCAGAACUGCAGGUAAACUGUUUAAAUCAGCUGAGUGACGUCACAGCAACAUCACGAAACUCUGAGGAGGACCGCAAGAGCAGAACAAACUGUCAGGGAUGAAAACAAACUUUUGGUCUGAUAAAAGAACCUAAUAACAUAAAGAGAAAACACUGUUCCACUUUGAGGUGUCAUGUGGUAACACAGAAAGUGCUCCAGUGUGUUUUUAAACUCCGUACAUCUUCACUAGAACCAUUUGGAUUAUUUUAAAUAUUGUUAAUCUUGACUGAACUAAAAGUAAAAAGAGCUGACAAGUUUAUUUGUACAUCACAAUUCGUACACAAAGUAAUUCAAAGUGCUUUAUAGAAUAAGAAAUACAUUAAAAUCAAUAAAAACAAAUCAAAACAUAAAUAAUCAUGAAGAUUAAAAUUUAAUUAAAAAGAGAGACAUAAAUUAAAGAGAAGAGUGAAUGAAAACCUUUCAGUUAUAUGCACAGUCAAACAGAACCGUUUUGAGCCUGGAUUUAAACAGAGUCAAAGUUGAGUCUGUGUCACAUGUUCAGACUGUUCCAGGUUUUAGCUGCAUGAACCUGAAACGCUCUUGUUUAGUCGUGACUCUGGGCACCAGCAGGAGGCUGGUCCCUGAGCUCCUCAGAGUGUGAGAUGGUUCAUAUGACACUAACAUGUCACAGAUGGACUUUGGUGCUCGACCAUGGAGACACUUGUUCAGUGCAGAGACCUGAGCACAGGACCUAUGUACUCAUACUUCCUAGUUCGAGUCAUGACCCGAGCUGCAGCAUUCUGGAUGUUCUGGAUGUUCUGCAACGUCUCACAGCUCGUUUGGAGAGACCAGUGAGCAGAACAUUACAGUAUCUAACCUACUGGAGACAAACGCAUGGAUAAGUUUCUCCAACUCUGAUUUAGACAGUAAACCUUUGAUUUUUGCGAUGUUUUUUAGAUGGUAAAAGGCUGCAGAUGUUAUUGAUUUGAUGUGGUUUUUAAAGUUCAAGUCUGAGUCCAUUAUUACCCCGAGAUUUCUUGCCUGAUUUGAAGGUUUUAGAGAGAGAGACUGGAGGUGACUGCUGACACUGUCCCUUUGUUUCUGUGGACCAAACACUAUGACUUCAGUCUUGUCAGAGUUUAGCUGGAGAAAGUUGUUUUGCGUCCACACACUGAUCUGUUGGAUGCAGUGACAAAGUGAGUCCACUGGUCCAGAGUCUCCUGCUGCAAAAUUGUGGUAGGACACAUUAUUGCUGCUUAUUAACUGGCCUGUAGGGGGCAGCAUGUAGAGAUUGAACAAAAGAGGGCCCAGGAUUGACCCCUGGGGCACCCCACAGGUCAGGGUCAUGUGAUCUGAGACACAGUUUCCAAUUUCAACAAAAUACUUCCUGUCUUCUAGAUAGGACUUGAACCUGAUGAAUUAACUAAAACUACCGCUUCAUGACACGACGUAAACAACCUAAUACUUCAGUACUAUUCAAACAUGUGUGAAGGAAACAAAACACAACUCCAGGUCUGUUUUUGAGGAGAUAAUGAUAUUCUAACAUGGCUUAAAGUACAUUUCGGGUAAUAUAGAGGCUUUGCACCGUCACGU